AGCACCUUGGCGCAGUGGAAGCGCGCCGGGCUCAUACUCCUACAUGAGGCGACCCGGAGGACACUUGAUCGAAACGAGUAGGUGCUA